rnacentral:rRNA from 1 species
CAUGCAAGUCGAGCGAACUGAUUAGAAGCUUGCUUCUAUGACGUUAGCGGCGGACGGGUGAGUAACACGUGGGCAACCUGCCUGUAAGACUGGGAUAACUUCGGGAAACCGAAGCUAAUACCGGAUAGGAUCUUCUCCUUCAUGGGAGAUGAUUGAAAGAUGGUUUCGGCUAUCACUUACAGAUGGGCCCGCGGUGCAUUAGCUAGUUGGUGAGGUAACGGCUCACCAAGGCAACGAUGCAUAGCCGACCUGAGAGGGUGAUCGGCCACACUGGGACUGAGACACGGCCCAGACUCCUACGGGAGGCAGCAGUAGGGAAUCUUCCGCAAUGGACGAAAGUCUGACGGAGCAACGCCGCGUGAGUGAUGAAGGCUUUCGGGUCGUAAAACUCUGUUGUUAGGGAAGAACAAGUACNAGAGUAUCUGUUCGUACCUUGACGGUACCUAACCAGAAAGCCACGGCUAACUA